AUAACGUGUUCAGUCUGCAGCGCUUCAGUGCGGUUACGUACAUUGACUGAUAAACGCGGCAUCUUCGUCAUCUUCUUUCAUUCGCCAUGAAAACUGUCAUUGUUUUCUUUUUCAUUCUCGUAGGAAUUCUUGCGGAAACGACGACUAACGUUGAUAGCAGAGACGAUGAUAUGACCACGUGUCUUGUUGAAUAUGGACUUGAUCCAGGUCCUAAUAACCCCACUGAAGAUCAGAAGAACUGCUACUUUGCUUGUAUGUUUAAAACAAUAGGAUACAUGAAGAAAGAUGGAUCAUUCAAUUUGGAUUUAAUACUUUCCGACGCAUACAGAUCGGAAAAAAGAGUAGAAAGCAAACGGAAAUUAGAUAAUAUUGUCAGCAUGUGCAAACAACGGGCUGGGAAUGAUAUUUGCAAACUUGCAGGCUGCUAUCAAGAACAUCGAAACUGAAUAAAAUUAAUCACAUUUAUCUAGAUCUAUAAAUUGACUGAUAAUUUUAUAACAUACAACGUAUCAUAAAAAAAUUAAAACAAUCGACUGCCAUAUUUAUAAUAUUUUAUAGCUCACUGUACCUUCAAUAUAUCAAAAUUCUAUCCUCAAUAUAUUGACAUUAUACUUAGUACUACUAAUUGACUUCCAUAGGCAGCAGAAUAUGAUGAAUACAGAAAUGGAUAAUGAUAAGUAGUUACAAGUUAAUCAACGCGAUUGACUUAUUCCAGCUAAUCGUUCUUUCUAGACGUCUGACUUAUCUUAUUAAUACAUUUAUAAUAUCUAGAAUUUUUGAAAAAUAUAAGUACAUUCAAAGUUGCAUUAUUAAUAAACAGUGUCUGAUUCUGGCA